rnacentral:rRNA from 1 species
UACCAGCACCCCGAGUGGUCGGGGCGAUUAUUGGGCCUAAAGCCUCCGUAGCCGGUUCUACAAGUCUUCCGUUAAAUCCACCUGCUUAACAGAUGGGCUGCGGAGGAUACUAUAGAGCUAGGAGGCGGGAGAGGCAAGCGGUACUUAGUGGGUAGGGGUAAAAUCCGUUGAUCCAUUGAAGACCACCAGUGGCGAAGGCGGCUUGCCAGAACGCACUCGACGGUGAGGGAUGAAAGCUGGGGGAGCAAACCGG